UAAACUUCAACUUAUAUCCCCUCCUGUCCUGACAUGCACAUGCUCACAUUCACACACAGCCCCCAGACAAUGACCUCCCAGCUAGCCAUUGAUUAUCAAUAAUGAAUGUGAAACGGGGAAGAGGAGCGAGAAAGGCCUGAAGCAGGAUUAGACACAGUUUUGCUUCCAAAGCUCCUUGCUGAUUUCUCCUUCAAGGCAGCUUUGUGAAUGGAUUGCUUUCAUGAACGCCUCUCUCUUUCUUUUCUCUCAUUCCCACGUUCAGCUACUCAUCUCGGUCUUUUGAUUGAGAUGUCAUGUCCUCUGUCGGGGUGAGAAAAUGGUACUGGAUGGCAGGACUGGAUCGGCUGCAGGUAGAUGGGAACUGACAGACGGACUGAAGAGAGAUAAGUAUCCACCGUUAAAAUACAUUAGGACCGAUGGAACUGUUUUGGACAUGAAACCUUGUUCAACACAUCUGGAAGCACAAAGAACGACAUGAAGUAUUGUGCAUUGUGUCAAAAUAGAUGUUUGAUUCAGUGUGAGUAAGAACGACUGGGUUAAGGACGUUGAAAGGAAUUUGACUUGUCUCUUCAAAACAACAAAAAUCUCUUUAAUUCCAGCAACUGAUUGUAGAUAACAAAAUAAUAAAGUGACAACCAUGUGUGGAAUGGCAUGUUUCAGUUUUUAUAAUUAAUGUUAGAAACGUUCACUGUAAUUUCACACAUCUGCAGCACAUUCUUCCAAUAGCUGUUGGAAGCAUCUGUGUGGCUUUUGGCCAACAAGACAACUGGCAAUGCUCAAAAUGAUGAUUUCUCACUGUGAAAGAUGAUUCCCUCCAUGGCAACA
rnacentral:lncRNA from 1 species